AUCACGGCCACAGCCCCCUUUUUUUUUUUCCCUUUCCUUUCUUUCUCUUCCCCAAAAGCAGCUACUGCAGCCACCACCGCUGCCGCAGCUACCGCAGCCAACAUCGCAGCCAUGGCCGCAGCCACCACAGUCGCAGCCUCUUCUUCCUCCCCUGCUCUGUUUCCUCUCCUUCCAUCCAGCUGCAGCUGCCACUGCCGCCGCUGCCUCCCCUUCUCCUCUUCCUCUCUUCUUCCCUUUUCCUUUCUCUUCUUCUUCCUUUCCUUCUCUUCUUUCUCAGCUGCACUGCUGCAGUCGCAGCCUCAGCCACGGCCGUAGCCUCUUCUUCCUCCCCUGCUCAUCUUCCUCUCCUUCUUCUCUUCCAGCNNN
rnacentral:lncRNA from 1 species